CUUGUGCCCUGAGGCCCAAGAGCUGGAUUCUUUCUGCUUCUGCUGUAUGUGACAACUCUGAUGCCAGCUCCAAUGCACAAAGACAAGACCAUGUGAGCUCACAGAGAAAUGGUGGCCAUCUGCUAGCCUAAAAGAGGACUCUCACCAAGAACUGAAUCUGCUGGCACCCUGACCUUGGUAUUUCCAUCUCUUGGAAUUGUGAAAAAUACAUGUCUGUUGUUGAAGGCCCCUAGUGUUUUGCUACAGCAACCCGAGAAGACUAAGAUAUCCAGAACUGAGUCAGUUGAACGUGAUGCCUCUGGAAUGCCAGCUGGCUAUGAGCGUGUGAAGAAGUCUGUGUGGUCACUGACACUGAGCAGCACCCACAGUUCUACGGUAGGACCAUCCCAACACCACCUCCUGGGUGCUGCGUGACGUCACAGCCAGGUAGAGCGCUGCUGCUACUCUAAAAGGAAAAGAAUGUGGCUCCACCCUCCCAGGAAGACAAUCCUGCAGCUUCCCACAGGUAAUUCUUUCAAGGUAAGUAAAGGGAGGCCUGAGGUGAAAAGAUUUCUAAAAAUCACAUGGAUUGUUCACAUAGAGAGGAGAACCUAAAAUCCGGGCUUCUGGAUUCCCAGGACAAUAUUCUUUCCACUCUAAUCUGCAUGGAAACUGUUUAUUGGAACCCUUAAAAAAUUCCAAACUUUUUAUCUCAUAGAAGGUUAGCACAAAGAAGUAGAAGAUAAUUGAGAUCCUGUCUGGAGUGGACACAAGAUGCCUCUCGGUCACUCACGCCUGCCAUCUUUAUAACUCAUAAUAGAUGGUCUACACAAGAAUACACAGUGGACAGAUAAGUCCUACGUAUGCACUAAAAAAACAGUAA